GUGGGGAAUAUUGGACAAUGGGCGAAAGCCUGUUCCAGCCAUGCCGCGUGUGUGAAGAAGGUCUUCGGAUUGUAAAGCACUUUAAGUUGGGAGGAAGGGUAGUAACCUAAUACGUUGCUACUUUGACGUUACCGACAGAAUAAGCACCGGCUAACUUCGUGCCAGCAGCCGCGGUAAUACGAAGGGUGCAAGCGUUAAUCGGAAUUACUGGGCGUAAAGCGCGCGUAGGUGGUUCAGUAAGUUGGAAGUGAAAUCCCCGGGCUCAACCUGGGAACUGCUUUCAAAACUGCUGAGCUAGAGUACGGUAGAGGGUGGUGGAAUUUCCUGUGUAGCGGUGAAAUGCGUAGAUAUAGGAAGGAACACCAGUGGCGAAGGCGACCACCUGGACUGAUACUGACACUGAGGUGCGAAAGCGUGGGGAGCAAACAGGAUUAGAAACCCGGGUAGUCC
rnacentral:rRNA from 1 species